ACAAUUGUAGCAAUGCCAAGAAAUAAUUGACAAUGUUUCAGGGACAGAGAGACUCAGAACAAAGCUCACCAGUUUGUUCCAAUCUAUAUGCUCCAUUCACCGAGUUUUGGCAUCCAUAUAAGAUAGAAUUAAUUGCAGAAUUUGUUUUCUUUUGUCAGAAGUGGAAAAAUUAGAUGCUGGAGAGCUGCAGGAAUUCAAAUGAGGAUACAGAAAAUAGAUAUAUAUGAAGUCCUCCUGCUUCUUGAUUAUAUAUCUAAACUCACAUGUCCCUCUGGGUUGCUGCACUCCACUGAUUUGCAGUAUGAGUUCUUUCCAUGUAUAGUUUCAAUCACAGGUGGUACUGCAUGUAUUGUGGUUGUACCAUCAAUAAUGGCUGAUCAGAAAUAACUUUCUCCCUCGAGUGAGGGGACUAGCACAUCCUCAGCCCAACUUAAAGAGCCAUGAUUCCAGAAGGGACUCUGUCCCUAAUGCUUAAGCUGCUAUGUAAGAAAAUGGCCUGUGGAGAUGGGAGGGUUACGGAGAAAGGUAUCACCCCACCCUUAGAAAUUACAAAAUCAAAUUCACUGGAGUUGACACAAGAAGAGGAGCAUUCCUUGUGCAACAUGAGGAGCAUCACUUUGAGAGGAAACAGGAUAUUUUUCCACUACUACCCUUCCUUGUACCUUUGGAAACAGACCACUGACUUCCAUCAGGAUUUCAUCUGGAGCUCUGCCACAAUGACAUGCUUGCAUGGUAUUUUGGGGCUUCAGUUUUAGUGCAGAUUUGAUGACAUAAGCAUGAAAUAUUGCUGCUCUUCUAGGCAAAUGAACCCAACAAACAGUGUUUCCUUUGAUGUACCCUCUGGGCUUCUCAAUGAUGCCCUACAUAAGAUCUGUACCAGUACUGAUGGCAGCAGCAGUAUAUCAUAAAAUGAGUAAUGGAUACAUUGCUAGAGCUGCAAACUAACAAGAACUCUGGAUUUCAACAAAUGCCAUGUGAAAUUGGGUGAAAUUUAGACAUUUGUAUGCUUAUUUCUUCUGUGACAUUGUGCAGUGUCUGACAGCUACAAAAGUCAGCUUGACCUUAAAGGACAGCCUCAGGGUUGAAUCAUCACUAUUCCUCAGUGUAACUUUCUUUAUGGAACUUAUGCCCACUACCACUACUGGCAAAUUCCUCUUCUGUAGCUUCAUCUUCACUGAGAAUUGUCACUACCAAGAAAAGAUUCUGAGACUUGCAUAAGCAUUCAAGGAUCCUAGCUGGAUGUUCAGCAGGUGACCUGUCCCAGUCUUACUCAAUAUCAGUGGUAAUUUUUAUAUCUGUUUA